CAAUAGCGUAUAUUAAAGUUGUUGCGGUUAAAAAGUUCGUAGUUGGAUUUCUGCCAAGGACGACCGGUCCGCCCUCUGGGUGAGUAUCUGGCUUGGCCUGGGCAUCUUCUUGGAGAACGUUGCUGCACUUCGCUGUGUGGCGCGGUAUCCAGGACCUUUACUUUGAGGAAAUUAGAGUGUUUCAAGCAGGCUUUCGCCUUGAAUACAUUAGCAUGGAAUAAUAAGAUAGGACCUCGGUUCUAUUUUGUUGGUUUCUAGAGCUGGGGUAAUGAUUAAUAGGGAUAGUUGGGGGCAUUCGUAUUUAACUGUCAGAGGUGAAAUUCUUGGAUUUGUUAAAGACGGACUACUGCGAAANCANNNGCGAAGGAUGUUUUCAUNGA
rnacentral:rRNA from 1 species